rnacentral:rRNA from 1 species
ACAGCAGUCGCCACGGUAAUACAGAGGGUGCGAGCGUUAAUCGGAUUUACUGGGCGUAAAGCGUGCGUAGGCGGCUUCUUAAGUCGGAUGUGAAAUCCCUGAGCUUAACUUAGGAAUUGCAUUCGAUACUGGGAAGCUAGAGUAUGGGAGAGGAUGGUAGAAUUCCAGGUGUAGCGGUGAAAUGCGUAGAGAUCUGGAGGAAUACCGAUGGCGAAGGCAGCCAUCUGGCCUAAUACUGACGCUGAGGUACGAAAGCAUGGGGAGCAAACAGGAUUAGAGACCCCCGUAGUCCCUGUCUCUUAUAC